GAUGAACGCUGGCGGCGUGCCUAAUACAUGCAAGUCGAGCGAACAGACGAGGAGCUUGCUCCUCUGACGUUAGCGGCGGACGGGUGAGUAACACGUGGAUAACCUACCUAUAAGACUGGGAUAACUUCGGGAAACCGGAGCUAAUACCGGAUAAUAUAUUGAACCGCAUGGUUCAAUAGUGAAAGACGGUUUUGCUGUCACUUAUACAUGGAUCCGCGCCGCAUUAGCUAGUUUGUAAGGUAACGGCUUACCAAGGCAACGAUGCGUAGCCGACCUGAGAGGGUGAUCGGCCACACUGGAACUGAGACACGGUCCAGACUCCUACGGGAGGCAGCAUUAGGGAAUCUUCCGCAAUGGGCGAAAGACUGACGGAGCAACGCCGCGUGAGUGAUGAAGGUCUUCGGAUCGUAAAACUCUGUUAUUAGGGAAGAACAAAUGUGUAAGUAACUAUGCACGUCUUGACGGUACCUAAUCAGAAAGCCACGGCUAACUACGUG
rnacentral:rRNA from 1 species